GACAGAGGGGGCAAGCGUUGCUCGGAAUCACUGGGCGUAAAGGGCGCGUAGGCGGGAUGGCAAGUCAGUCGUGAAAUCCUUCGGCCCAACCGAAGAACGUCGGCUGAUACUGCCGUUCUUGAGGGAUGCAGAGGAGACUGGAAUUCCCGGUGUAGCGGUGAAAUGUGUAGAGAUCGGGAGGAACACCGGUGGCGAAGGCGGCCCCCUGGACCGGUACUGACGCUGAGGCGCGAAAGCGUGGGUAGCAAACGGG
rnacentral:rRNA from 1 species